rnacentral:rRNA from 1 species
GUGGGGAAUCUUAGACAAUGGGCGCAAGCCUGAUCUAGCCAUGCCGCGUGAGCGAUGAAGGCCCUAGGGUUGUAAAGCUCUUUCAGCUGGGAAGAUAAUGACGGUACCAGCAGAAGAAGCCCCGGCUAACUCCGUGCCAGCAGCCGCGGUAAUACGGAGGGGGCUAGCGUUGUUCGGAAUUACUGGGCGUAAAGCGCGCGUAGGCGGACUGAAAAGUUGGGGGUGAAAUCCCGGGGCUCAACCUCGGAACUGCCUUCAAAACUAUCAGUCUGGAGUUCGAGAGAGGUGAGUGGAAUUCCGAGUGUAGAGGUGAAAUUCGUAGAUAUUCGGAGGAACACCAGUGGCGAAGGCGGCUCACUGGCUCGAUACUGACGCUGAGGUGCGAAAGCGUGGGGAGCAAACAGGAUUAGAUACCCGUGUAGUCC